UCAGACUAGCCAGCAGCAAUUAGCAUCCACCCGGUGAAACUGCGCAUCUGCUGAGCUCCUUAUAUGAGCUACUUCUCAGUGCAACGCUGGUGAAAAAGUUGCUAAAAGGUUAAUAAAGGAGUGAUGUUGUGAUGACUUCCUGAAGGCGGAGCUUGAGGAAGAGGAGGA